rnacentral:rRNA from 1 species
ACGGGUGAGUAAUGUCUGGGAAACUGCCUGAUGGAGGGGGAUAACUACUGGAAACGGUAGCUAAUACCGCAUGACCUCGCAAGAGCAAAGUGGGGGACCUUCGGGCCUCACGCCAUCGGAUGUGCCCAGAUGGGAUUAGCUAGUAGGUGGGGUAAUGGCUCACCUAGGCGACGAUCCCUAGCUGGUCUGAGAGGAUGACCAGCCACACUGGAACUGAGACACGGUCCAGACUCCUACGGGAGGCAGCAGUGGGGAAUAUUGCACAAUGGGCGCAAGCCUGAUGCAGCCAUGCCGCGUGUGUGAAGAAGGCCUUCGGGUUGUAAAGCACUUUCAGCGAGGAGGAAGGCAGUCGUGUUAAUAGCACGGUUGAUUGACGUUACUCGCAGAAGAAGCACCGGCUAACUCCGUGCCAGCAGCCGCGGUAAUACGGAGGGUGCAAGCGUUAAUCGGAAUUACUGGGCGUAAAGCGCACGCAGGCGGUUUGUUAAGUCAGAUGUGAAAUCCCCGCGCUUAACGUGGGAACUGCAUUUGAAACUGGCAAGCUAGAGUCUUGUAGAGGGGGGUAGAAUUCCAGGUGUAGCGGUGAAAUGCGUAGAGAUCUGGAGGAAUACCGGUGGCGAAGGCGGCCCCCUGGACAAAGACUGACGCUCAGGUGCGAAAGCGUGGGGAGCAACAGGAUUAGAUACCCUGGUAGUCCACGCUGUAAACGAUGUCGACUUGGAGGUUGUGCCCUUGAGGCGUGGCUUCCGGAGCUAACGCGUUAAGUCGACCGCCUGGGGAGUACGGCCGCAAGGUUAAAACUCAAAUGAAUUGACGGGGG